AUUCUCUCAGUUCUGCUGCUAGUGCAUGUGAUAUUCUCUCAGUUCUGCCUCUAGUGCAUGUGAUAUUCUCUCAGUUCUGCCUCUAGUGCAUGUGAUAUUCUCUCAGUUCUGCUGCUAAUGCAUGUGAUAUUCUCUCAGUUCUGCUGCUAGUGCAUGUGAUAUUCUCUCAGUUCUGCUGCUAGUGCAUGUGAUAUUCUCUCAGUUCUGCUGCUAGUGCAUGUGAUAUUCUCUCAGUUCUGCUGCUAGUGCAUGUGAUAUUCUCUCAGUUCUGCCACUAGUGCAUGUGAUAUUCUCUCAGUUCUGCCGCUAGUGCAUGUGAUAUUCUCUCAGUUCUGCUGCUAGUGCAUGUGAUAUUCUCUCAGUUCUGCUGCUAGUGCAUGUGAUAUUCUCUCAGUUCUGCUGCUAUGCAUGUGAUAUUCUCUCAGUUCUGCUGCUAGUGCAUGUGAUAUUCUCUCAGUUCUGCUGCUAGUGCAUGUGAUAUUCUCUCAGUUCUGCCUCUAGUGCAUGUGAUAUUCUCUCAGUUCUGCCUCUAGUGCAUGUGAUGUUCUCUCAGUUCUGCUGCUAGUGCAUGUGAUAUUCACCAAUUGGAGAUUAAAAAAGUGAUUGUCUAUGCAAAAUAAAACCAGUGAGGCAUGAUGAUAUUUAGCAAUAGGCUGGAUAUCAACAGAGCAUUGAGACAGUAACCAAAUUGGUCGCUGGUUCAAAUCUUUGAACGGAAACAUUUUCCAAAGCCCUGAACCCUAACUGUUCCUUGACCCCUAAUUCACUCGGGAUAAGAGUCUGCCAAAUGACAUGUUAAAAAUUAUUCUGUUCUCCCGUCAGACUCUGGCGAGUCAGAUGGCCCAGAGAGACAGGGGUCACAUCUGGGACCUCUUUUGCUGUGCAGAGUUUGGACCACAAAAACCUGGCUGGUAUUGGAGACCUCAGGGGUAGAGUGGCUAGAUGUGAUGCCAACAUUGCCAAGCUGUGUGCGGAUGUGAGCACAUGAGAUCAUCAGGCUGCAACAGGAGGGGUCAGGGGUCAAGUCUGGCCUGGGAGAGAGACUGUGAGAGAUGGAAACCAAGCUGUCCCAGGACUCAAGCAGAGCCACAGCCUGAGGAACAGCCUGGACUGAACUGGGCAAACCACAUCAAGCUCCUGGAGGCCAAGUAGGUCUGCCGCUCCCACAUUAGAUAGCUUUAACAAACCACAACCUGGACAUGCUGUUGAGGAACUACUGAAUAAUCCUGUGUGUGUGUGUGAUGAAGAUUACAUUCUCCACGGAGUGGAGCGGGGUUGUGUUGUAUGAGUUUUGAUGCGCUGCUGACAGUAAUGUAAUCAAGUGCCUCCAGAGUUUCUGUCCCAGCUGAAAACUCAAUAAGUAGAGUGAGGCACUUUUGGUCAGGCACUGAUGGCUUGAUUAGAUGUCCUACUCGAGAGUGUGACCAUGAGUUCUCAAAAUCCUGUUGGUAAUCUAAUAUAACAGACUGAGAGGAGUUCUCGUGUCCAGUUUACAGGUAAAUAGGAAGCUAGGUCUAGGUACUAUAUUCCUAAAAACCACAAACAGAAUCUUAAAAUUGCUGGGGUGCUCUGUUGGUAGCGCCAUCAAGGCACUAGGUUGAAACCCCUACCUCUGACAUUUGGUAAAAGAUAGCUCUCUACCCGGGAAAUGCUAAAUGU
ensembl:lncRNA